CGGCGAGUGAAGCGGCAACAGCUCAGAUUUGAAAUCUGGCCUCUUUGGGGUCCGAGUUGUAAUCUGUAGAGGAUGCUUUUGGCGACGCGCCUUCCGAGUCCCCUGGAACGGGGCGCCAGAGAGGGUGAGAGCCCCGUAUGGUUGGACGCCGAACCUCUGUAAAGCUCCUUCGACGAGUCGAGUAGUUUGGGAAUGCUGCUCAAAAUGGGAGGUAAAUUUCUUCUAAAGCUAAAUACCGGCCAGAGACCGAUAGCGCACAAGUAGAGUGAUCGAAAGAUGAAAAGCACUUUGAAAAGAGGGUCAAAUAGCACGUGAAAUUGCUGAAAGGGAAGCGCUUGUGACCAGACUUGCGCCCGGUUGAUCAUCCAGCGUUCUCGCUGGUGCACUCUGCCGGGCUCAGGCCAGCAUCGGCUCUCCCAGGGGGAUAAAGGUCGCGGGAACGUAGCUCUCUCCGGGGAGUGUUAUAGCCCGUGGCGGAAUGCCCUUAGGGGGGGCCGAGGCCCGCGUUCGCAAGGAUGCUGGCGUAAUGGUCACCAGCGACCCGUCUUGAAACACGGACCAAGGAGUCAAGCAUUAGGGCGAGUCUUUGGGUGCAAAACCCGCAGGCGCAAUGAAAGUGAACGGAGGUGAGAGCUUCGGCGCAUCAUCGACCGAUCCUGAUGUUCUCGGAUGGAUUUGAGUAAGAGCCUUACCGCUUGGACCCGAAAGAUGGUGAACUAUGCCUGAAUAGGGUGAAGCCAGAGGAAACUCUGGUGGAGGCUCGCAGCGGUUCUGACGUGCAAAUCGAUCGUCAAAUUUGGGCAUGGGGGCGAAAGACUAAUCGAACCAUCUAGUACUGGUACCA
rnacentral:rRNA from 1 species